GUCAGAGUGAGAGGAGAAAAGUGCCUUUUUAGUUUACUUCUGUCAAACCUGAGGAUUCGUUUUUCAGUUUAGCCGGAGCUGUGCAGCAAACGUAGCUGCCGACAUCCCCACGACGCACCCAAGUGGUGGCCCGGAAGCUGGGGAUAGAAAAGUGGCCUCCCCGAAUGCCAGGCACACAGGCCUUACUACCAGAAGCUUGAGCUGGGAGCCUCGGCCGUCGCAUCUCUAAAGAAUUUUAAACGGAAGAACGCAGAAGAAUUCUCUUUAUGUUACCUUUAUUUAGCAACAAAUCAACUUGACUCAACUGAUACUUACUGAGUGCCUUUAAAGGUAAGUGAAUAAAAGUCUACCCUUUGUAAAUCCACUUCAAGGAAUUUGUAAUCAAAUAUUGAUGUUUGAGGAUAAUGGGCCUUCCUGUUACUUCUUAGUACUAACCUAGCUUACACUCUACUUUCCUCCCUAAAGUUUACGCAAACUUUAAAAACCUAUUAAAAUCCCAUUCCUUCUGUGAAAGAACUGCUCUCUCCUUCCUUGAAUUCCUAUAGCAUAUUAAUUAAUCACAUACUUAUUUGUAAUAUCUUCUCUUGAACUAUUUAACUUCCUGCUCUUCCCACCUAGAUUGUUUCUGAUGUGCUGAAACAGGUGGUGACUUUUCAAAUAAAAAUUCAGAGCCACAGGGAGAAAGUUGCAAUGUGGAACCAUCAACAUAUUGUACUUGUACUGAAUCGUCUUCAUAAAGUACCAUUCGCAGUUCGGCUGCCAUUACUACGGCAGGAUAA
rnacentral:lncRNA from 1 species